rnacentral:rRNA from 1 species
ACACGCAUGACACACUGCAUAUCAAUAAGCGGAGGAAAAGAAACUAACAAGGAUUCCCUUAGUAACGGCGAGUGAAGCGGGAAGAGCUCAAAUUUGAAAUCUUCAAGGUUCUACCUUGACGAAUUGUAGUUUAUAGAAGUGUUUUCUGUUAGUGGAGUGGCAAAAGUUCUUUGGAAUAGGACAUCAUAGAGGGUGAGAAUCCCGUAUUUGGUCAUUCCUCCUAGCGUUGUGAUACACUUUCAACGAGUCGGAUUGUUUGGGAAUGCAGUCCAAAAUGGGUGGUAAAUUUCAUCUAAAGCUAAAUAUUGGCGAGAGACCGAUAGCGAACAAGUACCGUGAGGGAAAGAUGAAAAGAACUUUGAAAAGAGAGUUAAACAGUACGUGAAAUUGUCAAAAGGGAAGCGUUUGACACCAGUGUUGUUUAGUUGAAAAUCAAUUCAAUAAUUUUUGAUUUUGAGUAGUAUUGACUUCAUCAGCUUGCUGCUUUCUUUUCCGAAAUUAUUGAAUGCACUUUUCAGUUAACAAGUCAACAUCAAUUUCUUUUGUUGUAAAAGGGUAAGAGGAAGGUGGCUUACGCUUCGGCGUAAGUGUUUAUAGCCUUUUACCUCUGCAAUCGGAGAGAUUGAGGACAGCAGCGUAGACUCUUCGGGGUGUUAGAUACACUUGUGCUAAGCUAUAGCCUUGUAUAGACAACUUGUUGACUAUGCUCAGUCAUGUAGCUUACUCGCUUAUGCUAUUUUACCUACGCUUAGGAUGUUGACUGAUAUGUAGUCGUA